GUUAAGUUUAUUUUUUAAUUUUAGAUAUCUAACUCUUCGUCUUAUUUAAAAUUUUUUAUAAUUAAUAUUUUUAUUGUUACCGGACGGUAAAAUAUAAAUAAUAUUUUACGCGUGACUAUUUUUUUAAGUUUUUCUAUAAAUAUUUAAAAUAAGACGAAUGAUUAAACUUUGAACACAGAAAUUGAAAAGUGAAUUUAUU
rnacentral:pre_miRNA from 1 species